GAUGAACGCUAGCGGGAGGCCUAACACAUGCAAGCCGAGCGGUAUUGUUUCUUCGGAAAUGAGAGAGCGGCGUACGGGUGCGGAACACGUGUGCAACCUGCCUUUAUCUGGGGGAUAGCCUUUCGAAAGGAAGAUUAAUACUUCAUAAUAUAUUGAUUGGCAUCAAUUAAUAUUGAAAGCUCCGGCGGAUAGAGAUGGGCACGCGCAAGAUUAGCUAGUUGGUGAGGUAACGGCUCACCAAGGCGAUGAUCUUUAGGGGGCCUGAGAGGGUGAUCCCCCACACUGGUACUGAGACACGGACCAGACUCCUACGGGAGGCAGCAGUGAGGAAUAUUGGUCAAUGGGUGCAAGCCUGAACCAGCCAUCCCGCGUGAAGGACGACUGCCCUAUGGGUUGUAAACUUCUUUUGUAUAGGGAUAAACCUACCCUCGUGAGGGUAGCUGAAGGUACUAUACGAAUAAGCACCGGCUAACUCCGUGCCAGCAGCCGCGGUAAUACGGAGGGUGCAAGCGUUAUCCGGAUUUAUUGGGUUUAAAGGGUCCGUAGGCGGACUUAUAAGUCAGUGGUGAAAGCCUGUCGCUUAACGAUAGAACUGCCAUUGAUACUGUAAGUCUUGAGUAUAUUUGAGGUAGCUGGAAUAAGUAGUGUAGCGGUGAAAUGCAUAGAUAUUACUUAGAACACCAAUUGCGAAGGCAGGUUACCAAGAUAUAACUGACGCUGAGGGACGAAAGCGUGGGGAGCGAACAGGAUUAGAUACCCUGGUAGUCCACGCCGUAAACGAUGCUAACUCGUUUUUGGGCUUUAGGGUUCAGAGACCAAGCGAAAGUGAUAAGUUAGCCACCUGGGGAGUACGCUCGCGAGAGUGAAACUCAAAGGAAUUGACGGGGGCCCGCACAAGCGGUGGAUUAUGUGGUUUAAUUCGAUGAUACGCGAGGAACCUUACCAAGACUUAAAUGGGAAUUGACAGCUUUAGAAAUAGAGCUUUCUUCGGACAAUUUUCAAGGUGCUGCAUGGUUGUCGUCAGCUCGUGCCGUGAGGUGUUAGGUUAAGUCCUGCAACGAGCGCAACCCCUGUCACUAGUUGCCAUCAUUCAGUUGGGGACUCUAGUGAGACUGCCUACGCAAGUAGAGAGGAAGGUGGGGAUGACGUCAAAUCAUCACGGCCCUUACGUCUUGGGCCACACACGUAAUACAAUGGCCGGUACAGAGGGCGGCUACACAGCGAUGUGAUGCAAAUCUCGAAAGCCGGUCUCAGUUCGGAUUGGAGUCUGCAACUCGACUCUAUGAAGCUGGAAUCGCUAGUAAUCGCGCAUCAGCCAUGGCGCGGUGAAUACGUUCCCGGGCC
rnacentral:rRNA from 1 species